rnacentral:rRNA from 1 species
AAUGAACGCUGGCGGCGUGCCUAAUACAUGCAAGUCGAGCGAACGGACGAGAAGCUUGCUUUUCUGAUGUUAGCGGCGGGCGGGUGAGUAACACGUGGAUAACCUACUUAUAAUACUGGGAUAACAUCGGAAAACCGGAGAUACUACCGGAGAAUAUUUUGAACCGCAUGGUUCAAAAGAGAAAGACGCUCUUGCUGUCAGAUAUAGAUGGAUCCGCGCUGCAUUAGCUAGUUGGUAAGGUAACGGCUUACCAAGGCAACGAUGCGUAGCCGACCUGAGAGGGUGAUCGGCCACACUGGAACUGAGACACGGUCCAGACUCCUACGGGAGGCAGCAGUAGGGAAUCUUCCGCAAUGGGCGAAAGCCUGACGGAGCAACGCCGCGUGAGUGAUGAAGGUCUUCGGAUCGUAAAGCUCUGUUAUUAGGGAAGAACAUAUGUGUAAGUAACUGUGGCCAUCUUGACGGUACCUAAUCAGAAAGCCACGGCUAACUACGUG